rnacentral:rRNA from 1 species
GAGUUUGAUUCUGGCUCAGGACGAACGCUGGCGGCGUGCUUAACACAUGCAAGUCGAACGAAAUUAAAAAAUUAUCAUUGAGCUCUCCGAUGAGAUGGGAGCCAAGCGUCGUGACCGCGGAGCGGGCACCACGCGUUCAACAAGUGCAACACCAAGUCGAAGGGUUGAAUGGUAAUUUUUUAAUUUAGUGGCAAACGGGUGAGUAACACGUAGACAACCUGCCGACAGGAUGGGGACAACAUUCCGAAAGGAAUGCUAAUACCGAAUGAAGUCAGAGGAGGGCAUCCUCCUCUGAUGAAAGAUGGCCUCUGAAUAUGCUAUCACCUGUCGAUGGGUCUGCGUCUGAUUAGCUGGUUGGUGAGGUAACGGCUCACCAAGGCGACGAUCAGUAGCCGGUCUGAGAGGAUGAACGGCCACAUUGGGACUGAGACACGGCCCAGACUCCUACGGGAGGCAGCAGUGGGGAAUCUUCCGCAAUGGGCGCAAGCCUGACGGAGCAACGCCGCGUGAGUGAAGAAGGUCUUCGGAUCGUAAAGCUCUGUUGACGGGGACGAACGUGCGGAGUGCGAAUAGCG